UGGGGAAUAUUGGACAAUGGGGGAAACCCUGAUCCAGCGACGCCGCGUGAGUGAAGAAGUAUUUCGGUAUGUAAAGCUCUAUCAGCAGGGAAGAAAAUGACGGUACCUGACUAAGAAGCCCCGGCUAACUACGUGCCAGCAGCCGCGGUAAUACGUAGGGGGCAAGCGUUAUCCGGAUUUACUGGGUGUAAAGGGAGCGUAGACGGCACUGCAAGUCUGGAGUGAAAGCCCGGGGCUCAACCCCGGGACUGCUUUGGAAACUGUGGUGCUGGAGUGCAGGAGAGGUAAGUGGAAUUCCUAGUGUAGCGGUGAAAUGCGUAGAUAUUAGGAGGAACACCAGUGGCGAAGGCGGCUUACUGGACUGUAACUGACGUUGAGGCUCGAAAGCGUGGGGAGCAAACAGG
rnacentral:rRNA from 2 species